rnacentral:rRNA from 1 species
CCUACGGUAGGCAGCAGUCGGGCAUAUUGCGCAAUGGAGGAAACUCUGACGCAGUGACGCCGCGUGCAGGAAGAAGGUUUUCGGAUUGUAAACUGCUUUAGACAGGUAAGAAACCAGACAGUACCUGUAAAAUAAGCUCCGGCUAACUACGUGCCAGCAGCCGCGGUAAUACGUAGGGACCAAGCGGUAUCCGGAUUUAUUGGGUGUAAAGGGUUCGUAGAAGGGAAGGCAAGUUGGUUGUGAAAGCACUCGGCUUAACUGAGGAACUGCAACCAAAACUAACUUUCUUGCGUGCUGGAGAGGAAAGUGGAAGUCCUAGUGUAGCGGUGAAAUGCGUAGAUAUGAGGAGGAACACCAGUGGCGAAGGCGACUUUCUGGACAGUAACUGACGUUGAGGCACGAAAGUGUGGGGAGCAAACAGGAUUAGAUACCCGAGUAGUC